rnacentral:rRNA from 1 species
UACGGAGGGGGCUAGCGUUGUUCGGAAUUACUGGGCGUAAAGGGCACGUAGGCUGGCUGUUAAGUCGGUGGUGAAAUCCCGAGGCUCAACCUCGGAAUUGCCUUCGAUACUGACGGUCUUGAGUGCGGGGGAGGUGAGUGGAAUUCCCAGUGUAGAGGUGAAAUUCGUAGAUAUUGGGAAGAACACCAGUGGCGAAGGCGGCUCACUGGCCCGCAACUGACGCUGAGGUGCGAAAGCGUGGGGAGCAAACAGG